rnacentral:antisense_RNA from 1 species
AAAUGGAGGAUUCUCUUCCUCAGGGCAACGUCUAAACAGAGCAUCCUUAUUCAGGUCGGCACAAAUGGAAGAUGAACUGAACCACACACUGACUUCUGGCCCAAAAUACUAUGCUGCUGGUGUUACAUUUCUAAAGCACAGGCCUCCCUCUUACGUUCCUCUGCCAGCCUUUCCAUUGCAUAUGAGACACAUCCCUAAGUUCACAUGGAGAUAACCAAGGCCCUUCGCCAACUGGACAGCACCCGGCGGCUCCUACCUGGCCACUGUGCUUAGCGGUCCUGGCUUUGCCACAGCCUCUGAACAUUCGCAGAGCUCUGCCCUCGCUCCACAGCGGUCUCCUGUCGAUGGUCCCAGUUUCACCACAGCCUCUCAACAUUUGCAGAGCUUUGCCCUCGCUCCACAGCCAUCUCCUGUGGGGUGUCCGAGCUUCGCCACAGCCUCUGAACAUUCGCAGAGCUCUGCCCUCACUCCACAGCCGUCUCCCGCCUCUGAACAUUUGCAGAGCUCUGCCCUCGCUCCAUAGCCGUCUCCUGUGGAUGGUCCCAGUUUCACCACAGCCUCUCAACAUUUGCAGAGCUUUGCCCUCGCU